rnacentral:rRNA from 1 species
AAACUUAAAGGAAUUGACGGGUCCCGCACAAGCGGUGGAGUAUGUUGUCAAUUCGAAGCAACGCGAAGACCUUACCAGGGCUCAAACUGCAGGGUAAACCUCCUGAAAGGGGGGCUGCUUCGGCGAUCCUGUAGAGGUGCUGCAUGGCUGUCGUCAGCUCGUGUCGUGAGAUGUUGGGUCAAGUCCCGCAACGAGCGCAACCCCUGUCUCUAGUUACCAGCGGCUCGGCCGGGGACUCUAGAGAGACUGCCCGUGUAAGCGGGAGGAAGGUGGGGAUGACGUCAAGUCCUCAUGGCCCUUAUGUCCUGGGCUACAAACGUACUACAAUGGUCGGUACAGAGGGCUGCGACACUGCGAGGUGAAGCGAAUCCCUUAAAGCCGGCCCAGUUCAGAUUGCAGUCUGCAACUCGACUGCAUGAAGGCGGAAUCGCUAGUAAUCGCGGAUCAGCACGCCGCGGUGAAUACGUUCCCGGGGAUU